UACAGAGGUCUCAAGCGUUGUUCGGCUUCAUUGGGCGUAAAGGGCGCGUAGGCGGCGGGGUCAGUCGGGUGUGAAAUCUUGGGGCUUAACCCCGAAACGGCACUCGAAACUGCCCGGCUGGAGGGCCGGAGAGGAGAUCGGAAUUCACGGUGUAGCAGUGAAAUGCGUAGAGAUCGUGAGGAAGACCCGUGGCGAAGGCGGGUCCCUGGACAGUUCCUGACACUGAGGCACGAAGGCCAGGGGAGCAAACGGG
rnacentral:rRNA from 1 species